GAUGAACGCUGGCGGCGUGCCUAAUACAUGCAAGUCGAGCGAACAGACGAGGAGCUUGCUCCUCUGACGUUAGCGUCGGACGGGUGAGUAACACGUGGAUAACCUACCUAUAAGACUGGGAUAACUUCGUGAAACCGUAGCUAAUACCGGAUAAUAUAUUGAACCGCAUGGUUCAAUAGUGAAAGACGGUUUUGCUUUCACUUAUCGAUGGAUCCGCGCCGCAUUAGCUAGUUGGUAAGGUAACGGCUUACCAAGGCAACGAUGCGUAGCCGACCUGAGAGGGUGAUCGGCCACACUGGAACUGAGACACGGUCCAGACUCCUACGGGAGGCAGCAGUAGGGAAUCUUCCGCAAUGGGCGAAAGCCUGACGGAGCAACGCCGCGUGAGUGAUGAAGGUCUUCGGAUCGUAAAACUCUGUUAUUAGGGAAGAACAAAUGUGUAAGUAACUAUGCACGUCUUGACGGUACCUAAUCAGAAAGCCACGGCUAACUACGUG
rnacentral:rRNA from 1 species